rnacentral:lncRNA from 1 species
GGUAUUGAGGCACUUAAUGACGUAUCUAUUGUUGAGCUCGAUAUGGAUCGUGGCCGUAGACGUGGACAUGGCUGUGCACGAGGACGUGGCCGAGGACAUCGAAGGAGAGGAAGAUCGAGAGACUGAUUGUAUAUUAUUGAUUAAGAUUGCAUAUUUCGUAUAAUAUUAUAUAAUACUUUAUUUACUUCAUAUUUGUAUAUUUUGUUUGUGUUUUUGUUGAUAUUUUUAUUCGGUUGAUUGUAUCUUGUUAUUCCACUCGUCUUGUUGUGUUUCUUAUUUGAAUAUUUGUGCUCGUGAAAAUUCUUGCCUCAAACUUGUUCAAAUUGUUUUUAAAAUGGAGCUGAAAAGUGACAUGCUGUUGUUGCACUAAAGGCGUUGAACCAUUCAAAAUUUGGCUGGGUGGGAGUUUUACUCAAAAGACGGUGAAUCGUUUACCGUCUUAUGAAGACGGUGAACAAUUCACCGUCUUAUCUA